rnacentral:rRNA from 1 species
UACGUAGGGUGCGAGCGUGUCCGGAAUUAUUGGGCGUAAAGAGCUCGUAGGCGGUCUGUCGCGUCGAUCGUGAAAACUUGGGGCUUAACCCUGAGCUUGCGGUCGAUACGGGCAUGACUGGAGUUCGGCAGGGGAGACUGGAAUUCCCGGUGUAGCGGUGAAAUGCGCAGAUAUUGGGAGGAACACCAAUGGCGAAGGCAGCUCGCUGGGACGUUACUGACGCUGGAGACGCGAAAGCGUGGGGAGCAAACAGG